rnacentral:lncRNA from 1 species
AUCAAUCGUACCAUAUAAAUAUCACCGAAAAGAAACCCGAGAAUUGGUUGCCCCUUAACGCGAGGCCCCGCACAUGCGUCGAAGAGACCUGGAGACGAUCGGGCACGUACAGAUGUGAACAUCCUGCAUGCCCGUAGCCCUGUUCCCCAAACCCUAGCUUUCAGAUUCUUCCAAAGCACGUCAUUAUAUUAAUCGAGAACCCCUCAAAAAAAGAAGGGAGAAAAGAAGGAGGUGGCACAUGAGCGGGCACCUAACAUGGAGAUCUGGCCUAUCUAUCCGCUCUUACCCACAUCUUUUUUUUUAGGGAAGAUCGCGGAUCUAUCGAGUUUGCCUUUCCUUUCACGGGGACAGCGACUCGCGGCGGGUACGUGGAGGUCCUCCAGAGGCAGCGCCCCCCAGGGGCGGCCAUGUGCAUCCGUCCGUCGUCAUCAACAGGGGCCACUGCGGGGAAUUUGUUAUGCAGCAGGAGGCAGCAAAUCAGGCUCGUCAUCCUAUCCUCCCCUUCUCGCAUCGAAAGUCACGUGAAAUAAUGACUAGGGAACAAUAAUAUCAGUCCUCUGCUGCUGCGCUCGCCAUACACCUGGAUGGCUCUCAGCGCGUUUCAUGCACUGUUUCGAGGGCUGCCGUCGAGGAGGGUCGACUGCUUUCGGGUUUCUCUCUCUCCCUCUGUGAUCCGUACCUCUUUUUUAACUGCGUCUCUGAUAUUUUAUCAGCUGCCUGGAUGAUUCGUGUGUGCUUCGUGGCUUUUGGUCCCUGCGAUUUGAAUCUUUCUGUUGGCUGAGAAUCGAAGCUUGGAGAAGCUCGAGUGUGAGACGGCCCAGGGCUUUGGGAUGAUCGCCGGUUAGGCAGAGACAUUACUGCGUGCAUACCUACCAGUAGGAUCUAACAUAAUUCAACGAUCAUAUGCACCGAGCAUGUAUGCACCUUCGUACUCGUGAUUCCGUAAUUCUUCAAAUAUCGGGCUAUGUUUUCUUCUGACCAUUUUAAGUAGCUAAG